rfam:Halobiforma lacisalsi AJ5 contig_73, whole genome shotgun sequence.
CCUGUUCGGCACCGACGCCGCCACAGGUCGGGAUGUGAUCCCCUUCGGGAUUGAACCAGGAA